rnacentral:misc_RNA from 1 species
GGAGAACCUGGAGGUAUGUUGUCCUUACUGUCUUGGUGGUGAAAUCUGACCACAAUGCAUGUGAUGUUAUCGGCGCUGCCUCGGGAGAAGGCGGUCUCGGUGAGCUUCCGGGCGGCCGCCUGUGAGUCCUCUUCCAUUCUCGCCAGGGAAACAGCAUCCUCAUUUGGCACAACGUCCCAUAAUCCAUCGCUAGCAAGAACCAGAAGCUCCAAUUCAUCGUUGAUCUCUUGUUCCUGAAUCUCAGGCUCCGCAACAACAAACUGCUUCAAAAGGCGGUUACCAAAAGCACGUGACAUUGCCAAUACACCUCCUACCCUCCAGGUACCAGCCCACAUAACAACUCCUCCAGCAUUCUCUAUUCUUUGGCGCUCAUCACUUCUAUUUGGCUUAUGAUCAUCAGACAGCGGAAUUGCUUUGCCAGCCUUUGAUACUACAGUUCGUGAAUCUCCAACAUUUGCAACAUAUAAACGAUUGCCGACCAACACUGCUGCUGAGGCUGUUGAACCAUCAUCUCUGAAAGUAUUGCUUUCAGCAUCCAAGAAGUCGGCAUCAGUUUU